GGCCUAACACAUGCAAGUCGAGCGGUAGAGAGAAGCUUGCUUCUCUUGAGAGCGGCGGACGGGUGAGUAAUGCCUAGGAAUCUGCCUAGUGGUGGGGGAUAACGUUCGGAAACGGACGCUAAUACCGCAUACGUCCUACGGGAGAAAGCGGGGGACCUUCGGGCCUCGCGCCAUUAGAUGAGCCUAGGUCGGAUUAGCUAGUUGGUGAGGUAAUGGCUCACCAAGGCUACGAUCCGUAACUGGUCUGAGAGGAUGAUCAGUCACACUGGAACUGAGACACGGUCCAGACUCCUACGGGAGGCAGCAGUGGGGAAUAUUGGACAAUGGGCGAAAGCCUGAUCCAGCCAUGCCGCGUGUGUGAAGAAGGUCUUCGGAUUGUAAAGCACUUUAAGUUGGGAGGAAGGGCAGUAACUUAAUACGUUGCUGCUUUGACGUUACCGACAGAAUAAGCACCGGCUAACUUCGUGCCAGCAGCCGCGGUAAUACGAAGGGUGCAAGCCGUUAAUCGGAAUUACUGGGCCGUAAAGCGCGCGUAGGUGGUUCAGUAAGUUGGAUGUGAAAUCCCCGGGCUCAACCUGGGAACUGCAUCCAAAACUUGCUGAGCUAGAGUACGGUA
rnacentral:rRNA from 1 species